UACGUAGGGUGCAAGCGUUGUCCGGAAUUAUUGGGCGUAAAGAGCUCGUAGGCGGUCUGUCGCGUCUGCUGUGAAAACUCGGGGCCUAACCCCGGGCUUGCAGGCGAUACGGGCAGACUUGAGUACUGCAGGGGAGACUGGAAUUCCUGGUGUAGCGGUGAAAUGCGCAGAUAUCAGGAGGAACACCGGUGGCGAAGGCGGGUCUCUGGGCAGUAACUGACGCUGAGGAACGAAAGCGUGGGUAGCGAACAGG
rnacentral:rRNA from 1 species